rnacentral:lncRNA from 1 species
AUACUUCUUUCCACGAGAAAAGAAACAGCAAUAAACUUAAGCUAUAUCCAUGCUUGACGCUAUUAAGAAGAACCCAUAUGAUUUUGGGAAAAUUCUGAACCCAUUUGAGGAAUUGACAGCAAAUGGGGUGCGUGGUGGAGAAAUUCGGAGAUUCUGAGGUAUGGAAAGCGGCUUCUUUGGUUGUUCUAGUUUUGAAGCAGCUAUUUUUUAGACUUUCCAGCCCGACUUUACAGAUGUUCUUUGUCCAUUUUUUUCACAUGGUAGAAGAAACUAGGAUCUUUUUAGUUUUUUUCUUGUCUUUUCAUUAUUCUUUGUUACGGUAGAAGUCGACGAAGUUGAUAGAAUUGGAUCUUAUUCUCGUCAAGAAAUUUUUUCAAAAAUAGUAAUAUUGUAAUAAAUAAGAUGAAAAACAUUAAAGGUGCGUUUGAUAGAACAUAAUUCCAUGAAAAAUAUCACAUCCGAUAAAUUCGUUUUCUACUUUUGACUGUUUGAUACGAAAGUGAAGUUGGAAUUCGAAUUCCAAGGUACAAAUACUUAAAGAAUGUUUUUGACCAAUUUCAUGGAAAUCGAAUUCUUAUGAUUUUGAUAAAUUUUUUUUUUUAAACUUGCAUGAGAUUGAAUUUCUUUUUACACCUUUACAAUCAAAUAGACCUUAACUUCUUAAAUUCUCUUUUAUUUAAAUUAUGUUGCUCAUAGUUGAGAGUUGGAAACUCCCAAUCUCCCGAGCAAGGCUCAAGAGGAGCUUUGCAGACCGUCGAGGGAAUAAUGGCAGUAGUAGGAGAAGAAGAAUAUUUAAAGGAUAUCAUGUAAGAGAAGCUCAAAAUAAAAUUAACCUUUCGAUUUCAAUUUCCAUCUCUAGCUUUAUCCUUCUUAAAAAAACGCUUGUUGGACAAGACUUUUAAAAAGUCAACCCGCUUUUAUUUCUUUGUUCUAAAAGUACUUUGUUAAGCUAAAAGCUCUUUUACAAAAAAUACAAGUAGAAUCAACCAAGAAAAGUUCCGUGUGUGCAUCAUCAGUGAUAAUUUCAUAUUAAGAUAAUCAGAAAUUUAGGCAUCACUAUGAACCCACAGAAACUUCAAUAAGGUGUGAGAUGGGAAAAAAUAAAUAAAUAAAUAAUAAUAAUCAUCUUUCGAUUUCCCUCUCCAAUUUGAUCCUAAUUAAAAAAAAAGCUCGUUUGACAAGAUUUUUGAAAAGUCAAGCUAUGUUUGAACUUGCGAAGGUACUUUCAUCAAGUUAGAACAAUUUUUGAAAGAAGCUGAUCAAAUGUAAUUGCUUUUGAGAGCUCUUCUAAGAAAAAGGGAAGCAAAACCAACCAAAAAAAAGUUAUGUUGCGAGCACGCUUGUGAUCAUCGAUAAUUUCACAAUAAUAAAAUCAGAAAUUUAGGCUUCACUAUGAACCCACAGAAAAAUCAUUAAGGCUAAAUUCAAAUUUGGCAAAGCAGAGCAAAGGGAUUAAAAACCCCAGAUUCCAAAACGGGGUUCAGGAAUUGUUGCCCGUGGGAAUAUUUUUCACCCCAAAACAAGGAAAUAAAGGAAAAAAAGAAUCUCAAUUUUCAUGCCCUGCAACCAUUUCUAUCCCCAAAUCUACACUAGAUUUGCUCUCUUCAAGAACUUGAUCAUUCUGCAGUAAAAUGGCCAUAUGGAUUCCACAUAGUCCUGAUAUUUCUCCACCAACCCAAUUUCCAAAUCUUUUGCCUUACGCUUCAUUACCUCUUUGUAGUCCAUGUUUCUCACGUGUUGCCAUAUAAGUGAACGUAUGCCUUCUUUAAACUUCCCACGCACAAUAUAAUUAUGCAGCAAAAGGUAGUAGAAGGGCAGGUUCUUAACUACUUUAACUGCCUGCUUGAAGCUGAAUGAAUAGAGCCCACAAAUGAGCUGUACCAUCUUAAUGUAGAGAGCAACAAUUAAUGGUCCAAGAACCCAUAAAGGGGUUAAUUCUCUGGAAACUACAGAUCCAUAUACUAAAUUAACUGCCAGGUAUAAAGGGAAGCUGCAAAUACAACAAAAAGCGAGACAAUUAGUCAACAGCAAUAUUCAUUCUGUUAUGGAUCUGCACCUGUCUGAAUAUCUUAUUUAAGCUAAACAAAUACUAAAUGAUGAAGAAUAUAUGUUGUACUCGUGCUUUGACAGUUCAGAAGCAAUAAUGAGAAAAUUUGGAAGAAACUACCAAAGAUUGCAUUAUAACUGUACUCAUGCAUAUAACAAUUUAAAUUACGCAACAUCUUAUAUCAGCUAGAGUUUUAAAGCUACAUUCUUUGGAUUCAUUAAACUAUUUCCCUUGUUAAAUUACCAGCAAUACAUGUUAGAACACAGAAAUUUAAUCAACUCAGUCUAGAGUAAAAUAGCUCCAAAUAUCCAUUGAAACACACACACACACACACACACACACACACACACACAAAAUAAAUACAUAAUUUCUACACAUUGGCAUACAGUACAAAUCAGUGCUCAAUCGAAACUGAUAUUUUUACCUUUUCUCAUACAAAAUUCUGUAUCUCCUUAGUUUUGGAAACAGAGAAAUUGAUCACAAGCAAGCAGGCAUGUAAAAUAUACAGGCUUACACACACAGAAAGAGAUUGGAGACGGAGAAAGGAUGUACCAUCAGACUUACAAUAUCAAUAAAGGUAUCUUUAUUGUUGCGUCCAGACCUAAAAAUCUUCUUUCCACGAGAAAAGAAACAGCAAUAAACUUAAGCUAUAUCCAUGCUUGACGCUAUUAAGAAGAACCCAUAUGAUUUUGGGAAAAUUCUGAACCCAUUUGAGGAAUUGACAGCAAAUGGGGUGCGUGGUGGAGAAAUUCGGAGAUUCUGAGGUAUGGAAAGCGGCUUCUUUGGUUGUUCUAGUUUUGAAGCAGCUAUUUUUUAGACUUUCCAGCCCGACUUUACAGAUGUUCUUUGUCCAUUUUUUUCACAUGGUAGAAGAAAC